rnacentral:rRNA from 1 species
AACGAACGCUGGCGGCAUGCCUAACACAUGCAAGUCGAACGAGACCUUCGGGUCUAGUGGCGCACGGGUGCGUAACGCGUGGGAACCUGCCCUUAGGUUCGGAAUAACUCCCCGAAAGGGGUGCUAAUACCGGCUAAUGUCUUCGGCCCAAAGAUUUAUCGCCUUUGGAUGGGCCCGCGUUGGAUUAGCUAGUUGGUAGGGUAAAAGCCUACCAAGGCGACGAUCCAUAGCUGGUCUGAGAGGAUGAUCAGCCACACUGGGACUGAGACACGGCCCAGACUCCUACGGGAGGCAGCAGUGGGGAAUAUUGGACAAUGGGCGAAAGCCUGAUCCAGCAAUGCCGCGUGAGUGAUGAAGGCCUUAGGGUUGUAAAGCUCUUUUACCCGGGAUGAUAAUGACAGUACCGGGAGAAUAAGCUCCGGCUAACUCCGUG